GACGAACGCUGGCGGCGUGCCUAACACAUGCAAGUCGAACGGGGUGAUUUUCUUCGGAGGAUCACUUAGUGGCGAACGGGUGAGUAACGCGUGAGAAACCUGCCUUUCAGUGGGGGACAACAGUUGGAAACGACUGCUAAUACCGCAUAACGUAUUUUGGGGGCAUCCCUGAAAUACCAAAGCUUUAUGUGCUGAAAGAUGGUCUCGCGUCUGAUUAGCUAGAUGGCGGGGUAACGGCCCACCAUGGCGACGAUCAGUAGCCGGUCUGAGAGGAUGAACGGCCACAUUGGGACUGAGAUACGGCCCAGACUCCUACGGGAGGCAGCAGUGGGGAAUAUUGGGCAAUGGGGGAAACCCUGACCCAGCAACGCCGCGUGAAGGAAGAAGGCCUCGGUUGUAACGUUACUUUUAGUUAGGUACGGAAGAACGUAGACGGUACCGUACACGAAAAAG
rnacentral:rRNA from 1 species